rnacentral:rRNA from 1 species
AUUGAACGCUGGCGGCAGGCUUAACACAUGCAAGUCGAACGGUAGCAGGAGAAAGCUUGCUUUCUUGCUGACGAGUGGCGGACGGGUGAGUAAUACUUGGGAAUCUGGCUUAUGGAGGGGGAUAACUACGGGAAACUGUAGCUAAUACCGCGUAGUAUCGGAAGAUGAAAGUGCGGGACCGUAAGGCCGCAUGCCAUAGGAUGAGCCCAAGUGGGAUUAGGUAGUUGGUGGGGUAAAGGCCUACCAAGCCUGCGAUCUCUAGCUGGUCUGAGAGGAUGACCAGCCACACCGGGACUGAGACACGGCCCGGACUCCUACGGGAGGCAGCAGUGGGGAAUAUUGCGCAAUGGGGGCAACCCUGACGCAGCCAUGCCGCGUGAAUGAAGAAGGCCUUCGGGUUGUAAAGUUCUUUCGGUGACGAGGAAGGUUGUUGUGUUAAUAGCGCAACAAAUUGACGUUAAUCACAGAAGAAGCACCGGCUAACUCCGUGCCAGCAGCCGCGGUAAUACGGAGGGUGCGAGCGUUAAUCGGAAUAACUGGGCGUAAAGGGCACGCAGGCGGACUUUUAAGUGAGGUGUGAAAUCCCCGGGCUUAACCUGGGAAUUGCAUUUCAGACUGGGGGUCUAGAGUACUUUAGGGAGGGGUAGAAUUCCACGUGUAGCGGUGAAAUGCGUAGAGAUGUGGAGGAAUACCGAAGGCGAAGGCAGCCCCUUGGGAAUGUACUGACGCUCAUGUGCGAAAGCGUGGGGAGCAAACAGG